rnacentral:tRNA from 1 species
GGCCUUGUAGCUCAACUGGAUAGAGCACCUCACUACGGAUGAGGAGGUUUGGGGUUCGAAUCCCUACAGGGUCACCA